rnacentral:rRNA from 1 species
GUCUAUGGCCAUGCUACCAUGAAUAAGCUCAAUCUCAUCUGAUCUCGGAAGCUAAACAGGGUCGGGCCUGGUUAGUACUUGGUUGGAAGACCACCUGGGAAGAUCAGGUGCUGUAGGCA